UACGGAGGAUGCGAGCGUUAUCCGGAUUUAUUGGGUUUAAAGGGUGCGCAGGCGGCACGGCAAGCCGGCGGUCAAAUCGCGGGGCUCAACCCCGCCCAGCCGUCGGAACUGCCGGGCUAGAGUGGGCGAGAAGUGCGCGGAAUGCGUGGUGUAGCGGUGAAAUGCAUAGAUAUCACGCAGAACUCCGAUUGCGAAGGCAGCGCACCGGCGCCCUACUGACGCUCAGGCACGAAAGCGUGGGUAUCGAACAGU
rnacentral:rRNA from 1 species